rnacentral:tRNA from 1 species
GGGCCCGUAGCUCAGACUGGAAGAGCGCUGCGCUUGCAACGCAGAGGCCGCGGGUUCAAAUCCCGCCGGGUCCA